UACGAAGGGUGCAAGCGUUAAUCGGAAUUACUGGGCGUAAAGGGUGCGUAGGCGGUUCGUUAAGUCUGUCGUGAAAUCCCCGGGCUCAACCUGGGAAUGGCGAUGGAUACUGGCGAGCUAGAGUGUGUCAGAGGAUGGUGGAAUUCCCGGUGUAGCGGUGAAAUGCGUAGAGAUCGGGAGGAACAUCAGUGGCGAAGGCGGCGAUCUGGGACAACACUGACGCUGAAGCACGAAAGCGUGGGGAGCAAACAGG
rnacentral:rRNA from 1 species